rnacentral:rRNA from 1 species
GAUGAACGCUGGCGGCGUGCCUAAUACAUGCAAGUCGAGCGAACAGACGAGGAGCUUGCUCCUCUGACGUUAGCGGCGUACGGGUGAGUAACACGUGGAUAACCUACCUAUAAGACUGGGAUAACUUCGGGAAACCUGAGCUAAUACCGGAUAAUAUAUUGAACCGCAUGGUUCAAUAGUGAAAUACGGUUUUGCUGUCACUUAUAGAUUGAUCCGCGCCUCAUUAGCUAGUUGGUAAGGUAACGGCUUACCAAGGCAACGAUGCGUAGCCGACCUGAGAGGGUGACUGGCCACAGUGGAAGUGAGACACGCUCCAGACGCAUACGGGCGGCAGCAGUAGGGAAUCGUCCGCAAUGGGCGAAAGCCUGACGGAGAAAGGCCGAGUGAGUGAUGAAGGUCUUCGGAUCGUAAAACUCUGUUAUUAGGGAAGAAAAAAUGUGUAAGUAACUAUGCACGUCUUGACGGUACCUAAUCAGAAAGCCACGGCUAACCACGUG